GAUGAACGCUGGCGGCGUGCCUAAUACAUGCAAGUCGAGCGAACAGAUGAGGAGCUUGCUCCUCUGACGUUAGCGGCGGACGGGUGAGUAACACGUGGAUAACCUACCUAUAAGACUGGGAUAACUUCGGGAAACCGGAGCUAAUACCGGAUAAUAUAUUGAACCGCAUGGUUCAAUAGUGAAAGACGGUUUUGCUGUCACUUAUAGAUGGAUCCGCGCCGCAUUAGCUAGUUGUUAAGGUAACGGCUUACCAAGGCGACGAUGCGUAGCCGACCUGAGAGAGUGAUCGGCCACACUGGAACUGGGACACGGACCAGGCUCCUACGGGAGGCAGCAGUAGGGAAUCUGCCGCAAUGGGCGAAAGCCUGACGGAGCAACGCCGCGUGAGUGAUGAAGGUCUUCGGAUCGUAAAACUCUGUUAUUAGGGAAGAACAAAUGUGUAAGUAACUAUGCACGGCUUGACGGUACCUAAUCAGAAAGCCACGGCUAACUACGUG
rnacentral:rRNA from 1 species